GGUCGUGGUGUGCUAGGAGCUACCCACCGUUGUCAAAUCGAGUGCCUGCGUGCGGUUGUUGGAAUCGCCGGGUGGAGUGGUGCGGCCGACGAUCGACUGCUCUGCAUUGUGGCUGGCGGCGAGCGGCUUCAAUCGGAGAUUGCUGCCGGUAGUAAGCGGCUUCAGAUGGGGAUUACGGCCGGCGGCGAGCGGCUUCAGCUGGGGAUCGAGGCGAGCGGCGGGUGUCCUCGGCGGCCUGAAUCGAUUCCGGAUCAGUUACCGGACUCGGCGACGUAGUGAGCGGAAGGCGGCCAGGCGGGCGUCCCGUUCCUCGCCCAGCAGUUCGGUUGGCUGCUGCUCUCCCGCCGGUCGCCGUCCCGUUCAUCACCCCCAGCUGGUCGUCUACUCCGCCCCGGCGACGGCUCGCUGUCUCGUCCGCCCGAGUGGGCUUCGACUUGAAGGUAUAUGUAGAGAUAAAGUACACUUGUCCAAACACCAAUAAAGAUAGUGGUAUUUGCGAAGGACUGCCUCAACUAGUUCUUAGUUGGCUUCAACAAUUUUAACAGCGGGCUUGGUUUCGGCAAGAGCGGCACGAUCCAAGCUCAUCAUCAGGCAUCUUCCUUUCCAAUUGCUGCUAAUUACUUACUGAUUGAUAUUUCAAGUUUUAGUUUAUCUUUUGCUUAUUGAUUGUGUAAGCGAUUUGACCUUGUCAGGCUGAAGCGGCAAGCAUGGAGGCAGCACCGGCGGCUCGCCGUACAACAUGUUCUCGUCAGAGAUGCAGUGCAGUGGUCGAAACCGGAGGUCGAUCCUGUCGCCACCGAUGGCCUUAGGCACCCAAUGGCAGAGGAGGAUGGGGUCUUAUGGCGACUCCAACAGCAGCCUUUCUACCAGACAUCAGUUCCCCGAACAAUUUUCUCUGGCACCGCUUCGCUGCAGACUAGCUGGCUAUUACAAAGUGCCGGAGAAAAGUUUAUUGAUGGCCAGAUGAAUUUUUGUUUUAGAAAAAACAAUUGCGGAGGUAGGCAGGAGCUAGCUAUGGGAGUAAUCGGGGGAAUUCUUACGAUCCAGAAACUGAUUCAUUCAUUUUUGUUGCAACGUAAAAUUGUGUAAAUGUGAUUGCUAUGUAUUUUUGAUACGUAAAAUUGUGUAAAUGUGAUUAUGCAAUUUAUUCUUGCAUAGCCCGUGGUAUAAGUUUGUAUUGCAAGUACAAUAGGUUACGUCAGAUUUA